UAGUUGCUGGAGGAAUGAGGAGGCUGCCUGCCGGGCUCCUCCUUUCACACGCAGUCUGUGAGACAAACACCUCGAGCAGAAACAUGGUAUUUCCACCCUUUUACCAUUGAUUGGUCCCCUUCUUCAUGUCAUCAUUUUUUAUGAGUUUUGCUCUUCCUGCAUGUACUGACUUCUUAGGUAUCUUUAGCUCCUGACCAGAUAUUAAGAGAUUUUUCUAGCCUCUCUUCCUAGCUUGCAUCUGCCCCCUUCUGUCUUUCUGGUCCACCUGGCUUGACCUCAUCUAGGGGAAGAAAAAUCCCAUGG
rnacentral:lncRNA from 1 species